rnacentral:rRNA from 1 species
GAUUAGUGGCGAACGGGUGAGUAACACGUGAGUAACCUGCCCUUGACUCUGGGAUAAGCGUUGGAAACGACGUCUAAUACCGGAUACGUGCUGCGGCCGCAUGGCCUGCAGUUGGAAAGAAUUUCGGUCAAGGAUGGACUCGCGGCCUAUCAGGUUGUUGGUGAGGUAAUGGCUCACCAAGCCUACGACGGGUAGCCGGCCUGAGAGGGUGACCGGCCACACUGGGACUGAGACACGGCCCAGACUCCUACGGGAGGCAGCAGUGGGGAAUAUUGCACAAUGGGCGCAAGCCUGAUGCAGCAACGCCGCGUGAGGGACGACGGCCUUCGGGUUGUAAACCUCUUUUAGUUGGGAAGAAGGGAGCUUGCUCUUGACGGUACCAGCAGAAAAAGCACCGGCUAACUACGUGCCAGCAGCCGCGGUAAUACGUAGGGUGCAAGCGUUGUCCGGAAUUAUUGGGCGUAAAGAGCUCGUAGGCGGUUUGUCGCGUCUGCUGUGAAAUCUGGGGGCUCAACCCCCAGUCUGCAGUGGGUACGGGCAGACUAGAGUGCGGUAGGGGAGAUUGGAAUUCCUGGUGUAGCGGUGGAAUGCGCAGAUAUCAGGAGGAACACCGAUGGCGAAGGCAGAUCUCUGGGCCGUUACUGACGCUGAGGAGCGAAAGCAUGGGGAGCGA